CUGGCUGGGUAGAGCUCCUACCGGAGCCCCCUGCCUCUCCUGGGGCCUGUGAAAGUAGAGUAUGAAGCUGUAAGGAUGAAAUGUGUCGCAAUGAGAGAACUGUGCAGCAGGACUUGUUACUUCUCUAACCCAUCCCUCCCUCCUUUCUCCUGUCCUCUAUUUCCACAUUCUGUUCAUUCUCUGUAGUGUUCAGAGCUAGCGAACACUACUGCAGUUGUUGUUCAUAUGGGACUGGGGUAUUAACCCUUCACACCACAGCAGGCCCUCUGUCUCGCCCUCUCAGGCAGUCUAACCUAACACAACCAGCAGAGCUGAAUGAAGAUACACUGUGUGUGUGUGUUCAUGUCUCUAUGUCUCUGUGUCUCUAGCAGCUAGCCAUGUUUAUCCAGCUGUGAUACUAAGGAAGAAGCUCUAACUAUUGAACUAGUUUACAUAGCAGCUUGUCUCUCCAGUAAGACCUCUGAAAGUUGUAUGGGCUGGGCCCAAAAUACACACACACACACACACACACACACACACAUUAACAAACACACACAAAAGGGAUCUUGUACUGUUAGAAUACGGAAAAUUAGGAUGAAGUAUAUUCCAUUUUAAAGAUCACAUCUAACUGGUAUACUUGGUCCAUUCUAUUGUGUUCUACAGACCCCCACAAACAUUUUAAGUCAUCAAUUGGGCUUUAUGUACCUAUUAUUUAUGGAGAUAUGGCCAUGUAACUCCUGUCCAAUAUGGCUCCAUGGGGCUGGUUGGUGGCCAUUUUGGAAAUGCUGCCAGGGUGGUAAUACAAAACAUCUGUGAUGGCAUUAUAGCUAAAAAAUAUAUUUAAAAAACACACUUCUUGGGACUUGUUCUAGCUGUGUGUGAAAUGUGGUGUUCUUAUCACAAAAUCAACAAUUCCCCUCAAAUUUGAGGCUUAGCUGCUGGACUUUUUAUAGGCUGGUUGUUUUUGCACAUUGUGGCAGGUAGUCUCUGCAGCCAGAACCCAGUCAGUCAGUUGGGUUGUGUUUUUAUAUUGAGCUGUUUAUGAGCCAUGCUGCGAACUGAGUGUUGUGUGAUAUUCUAGUUGUUGGGAACAGUUCAAGCUGAUCCCCUGAGGUCCUAUUGAGGACUCUGUGAGGUCAGUUUUAUUUAUCUAUUUAUGUCCUGGCCUCACAGCAAACCCCACAUACUGUAGCCCAGGGGCACACACACGGUACAGACAAUAAUAAUGGUUUCAAUUAAAACACAUAUACACACAAAGGUACAGGUACAUCAGAGGAGGCUGGUGGGAGGAGCUAUAGGAAGACUGGCUCGUUGUAAUGGCAAAAAAACAAACAUAUUUGAUUUAACUAGGCAAGUCAGUUAAGAACAAAUUCUUAUUUUCAAUUAUGCUCUAGGAACAGUGGGGUAACUGCCUUGUUUAGGGGCAGAACAACAGAUUUUUACCUUGUCAGCUCGGGGAUUCCAUCUUUCAACCUUUCGGUUACUAGUACAACGCUCACUAGGCUACCUACUGCCCAAGUUAGCCUGGUGGGUCAAAUAAUGUCUCCUACCACCAUUAAAUGGAAUUAAUGGAACGGUAGCAAACACAAAGAAACCACAUUUGACUCAUUCCAUUUAUUAAAUUCCAGCCAUUACAAAGAGCCCAUAGCUCCUCCCACCAGCCUCUGACGUACAUACAUACCAUGGUACUGUUGCAUACUGUGUGAUUUUUCCACUGGCUGCCCGACACACUAUUUAACACAUUGGCUCAGAUGUUCACUUCUUUUGUGACCAAUAUUUGUUUUUACAAAGAUCUAGAGACAACAAGGUGUCCACCUUUUUAAUUUCUGUGGUUUUGAGUCACCUCCACUGUCUCUCUCUCUCACACACACACACACAAACCUCUCUUAACUAGACCUCUAUCAGGGUACGGAGGGCUGUAACCAUAUCAGCCCCAGUAAUAACUGUUGCUGGAUUGUACAAGACAGAAUAAUAUUCCAUAUGAACCAGCCACACCUCACAAAUCAGAGGGUGUGGAUCUGCUUCCGUAGUUGUUCAGAGUACUUUGGGAAGAUGCCGUUAAAAGAGAAGAAAUGUUUGAAGUCAUUGGUUCUGUGUCUGUGCAAGGAUGUGAUUGGCAUGGCAAAGGGGAAAAUGUGAAAAAUCCCAUCUCUGUGUACUAUAUAUCUGUGUAGUUGGCCUGUGUAUAGUGUGGGUGUGAUCUGAUGGCCUCUGAGUUGGGUUGGUUGUUGACUAACUGAGAAAGAGACACUGGAAUACCACAAACCAAAUAAACACUACACACUCCCUCUAUAGUUUACUGCAACAGACCAGCCUCCCAGGUCCCCUACUCUACCCUAUCUACACCCUGACCUCUAACCCCUACACAGGUCAGGGUUCAGACACUGUGGCAAGAGUUCUUUUAAUUGAACCACUUCUCUUCCCUUUACCAUGAAUGGCUCCUUAAACUGGCCACCUCUACUUUCCUUACUAGCUGUCAUUCAUUCAUUUUGUUGUUCAUUACUGUACAUUCACCCCACCUCAUAGGCAGGUAGUGGUUUUCAGAGGAUGAAUUUAAUAAAGGGAAUGUUGGGAAAGGGUUUGGUAUGCAAAACUUUAUCUGAAGAAGUGUUCCAUACCCAGCUAAUCAUGACCCUCUUUGUUUUGCUUCCUUUUUUGAACGUGUAUGAUAUUAUACUUGUGUGUAUGCAUGCAUGCAAGGAAGUGUUUCACUGUGAGUGUUUGUUUCACUGUGAGAGUGUUUUCUCUUGACAUGCAUGUGAGAGAGACUCUGCAAAGCCCUAAUUUAACAGUGACUGGAGGUCCUUGGUGACCCCUGGGGCUCAGUGUGCACUGUUAUUAUUACUACCUUCAUGCCUUUUUGUUUUUCUGCACUAAACCCCGUCUCAAGUGGUUUCUGUCCAUGCCUCCUUUUUUUCCCUCUUUUCUCUCACUGUGAGUACUCUGAGGAAGAGCUGCAUAGUAUUGUGCAACAGGAGCGUGA
ensembl:lncRNA